rnacentral:misc_RNA from 1 species
UCGUAUCUUCAUCAACACCAUUUAAUAACACAAAUUAAAGCCGCAUCAUAACUAGUGAAAACCCUUUAAUUUACACAUAAUCACGAGGAAAGCACUGCAGAAACUGUACCAGCUGCGAGCAGGGCCCAAUUAUUCUGCACAAAUGAACUCACUGCUCCAGAAAGAUCCUUAGGAACGGUAGGACUCUCUACAAUGGGAGCCUUCUUCGGCUUUUCUGGAGCCAGUGCCACUGCCGGCGACGGAGCUGGAGCAGGAAGCUUAGGUGUGAACAUGUCCAGAGGAAGUAGCACCCUAUCAACCUGAUAAAUCGCAACCCGGGAAUCGGUGUAUACAGUGCCAGAAAUGGUUGUGUUGGUUAGUCCUGUUGUUAUGUUCACUAAAUUCCCUCCGGUGGUCACAUUAAGCGCAAACCGGUUACCUGCUCCGGCCAAUGUCCUUACAGGGUUACUCACAGUCUGGAAUUGG